CAUAUAGGUUGUAGGGAACUGAAAGGCGACCCUUCGGGGAGCCUAUACAGGUGUUGCAUGGCUGUCGUCAGCUCGUGUCGUGAGAUGUUCGGUUAAGUCCGCUAACGAGCGCAACCCUCGUCGUAUGUUAUAUGUGUCAUACGAGACUGCCGGUAAAAGCCGGAGGAAGGUGAGGAUGAUGUCAAGUCAGCAUGACCUUUAUAUCCAGGGCUACACACACGCUACAAUGGUCUGUACAAUGGGUAGCCAAGCCGCGAGGCGGAGCCAAUCCUGAAAGCAGGCCUCAGUUCAGAUUGCAGUCUGCAACUCGACUGCAUGAAGCCGGAGUUGCUAGUAACCGCAGGUCAGCAAUACUGCGGUGAAUACGUUCCCGGGUCUU
rnacentral:rRNA from 1 species